AAUAAAUACUGCUGCGUCCUUCAGCAAGGUUAAAAAGACACCAGUCUUCACUCUUCUCCACCCCCUUUUCUAUUAGAGGACCUUUAAAGGAGCCGGGUAAAAAUCACUGCACAAUUCAACCCUCUUGUCAAGGUCAAGACAUACCUUUAAUGAAUGAAGCCAGUCUGAAUGGAAAAACACUGGGUAAUAAACUACUUUGAAAGACAGGCCAGCCAAUGUCUAAUGUUGGACUAAUAUGCAGUACCUCCUGAUUAUUUGCUGGUGUUUGGUAUAUGACAAGUAGUCGAACACUCUGGCAAGAGCACUUUGACAGCUGGAAGCUUUCAGUGCAUGCUCUCUCAAGGAAUCAUGGGGUUUGAAGUCUUAUCUAUAGAUGGC